rnacentral:sRNA from 1 species
UUUCAUUUCUGUCAAAAUUUCAGUUGGUGCCUCUUUCCGGCGCUACUCCUGAUUUACACGUGUUGGUAGACGUACACGUGUUCGUACUCUUGAAGAAGUAGAAGGACGGAAAAGCCGAUCUUUUUCGAUUUGCUUCCAGAAACAACGAGCUUUCUCUCGCAUCAAACCACAAGCUCUAUUUCGGAGAAACUACGAAACAUCUCGACUUCUCUCUCAGAGCCCAGCUCGAGUCCUCUGAUAAAAAGGAGAAAUGCUGAUGGAAAAUUUUCUCCGAUACUUGAUUUUCUUGGUUUGUUUCUACUGAUCUUUUGUUUCUUGGGCUGAUUGCUCUUCUUUUUCGUUAUUUUUGGUGCAGAUAUGAAGAUGAUUUGUGAAGAUGCUGUGAUUUCAUGGUACUCAUGUUCAGUUUUUGGAUUUGCUUUGAAGGAAUUUCUAGGGUUUCUUGAAACGGUGGUUUCCAGAUGGUCAUGGUCCAAUUAUCAGCCUCCCUUUCAAACACUCAGAUGAGUUCAUUGGCAGAUUUGAAGCCCCCCC